UACAAACGUAGUGUUUUCAAAUUGCAAAAUCAUAACAAACACUAUUUUAUGGCUUCAUAAACUGUAGUGAAUAAAUUCAUAUUUGUGAUUUCCAUACGACAUGCUUCCUCACCAACUGCAGUCACUAUUGCUGUAUUAAAGUAAAUAGGUAGCUACAAUAUAUUUUAUGACAGUUAUGGUUCAAAAUGAACGUUCAAUUUUCAAUAACGUUAUGCGUACUCUCAAUAUUGCUACGACCCGUGCAAGUACAGAUGCCAGUAGCCUAUUAUCCGAUGCGUCCGAUGGGCUUUAUGUCAGCUCUCAUCCCUGUACCAGCGCCACCACCAGUACCAGUAGCUGUGGCCUUUCCUAAAUGUGUGAUGAUUAGCACAACUACUACAACAACAACGACAACGACAACAUCAGCUCCGCCAAUACAACGCUGUUGCUGUCCCCAGCCAGUGGCUGUGAUGGUUCCAGUAGCUCCACCACCGCCGAUGCCUCCGCCGAUUGUACUUGCUCCUCAAAUUGUUCCCCGUAUUAUGAUGGUCCCGCCAAGAUGUUAGCAAGAAGCGACGGUUAUAAGAUGCAAUAUAAUUUGUUUUACCUAUUUAUUAGAAACAAAAACUUGGCUCUUUACCGAAAACC